CAAUCAAUUAGCACUGCUUUGCACCCUCUGCUUGACCUAUCCACUCCUCCCCACUCAAAUCAGCAUUUUCAGGGCAGGGCGAACCUUUCUACCUUGCAGUUGCUUCUCCUAACCACUUCCCUCCCCUUGCAACCUAACAUUAAUGCACUUCCCCUGGACUCCAGCAAAAUCAAUGCAGAGAAGGAGCAUCUUCAGGCAAUAAUACUGCCAUUCAGCACAGUGUGGUUUGUUUAUUUUUUAAGAGUUUUGCUUUACGGUAACUGCCAAUGUAACUUCCCCCUCAGUGUUCCUGAAGUUGGUUGCCUGCAAUCAACAGCUGAAGGCCCAGACAUCACCAGGGGAUGAAUGUCCUUGAAAGGGAAGGAUACAAACUCUUCAGCUUCAAGAACUGCCCCUAUGACUGAACAGUGUCAAGAACAGAUGACCACAUAAGGUACAUUCUCUGCAUUCUCUACAGUAUAUGGGGGAGUAGGAUCAGUGUGUGCAUCAUAUUCCCACAGAGGUAGCCCUCUACAAUCAAGAAACAUGAGGAGUGGCUCUUUCUUUGGGACAUCUCAGAGACUCCCGGAAGUCUGUCAAGAGGAGUGCUGUGAAGGACAAGGCCUUGAAGUGUCAGCCUGAGUUGGCCAGGACUGGAGGGAUCUGGGACCCAUUACUAGUGCCACCUGUGCAAUUGCAGACGUGGCCUCAUGAGCAAACUCCAGUGGGGUUGCCUUACUACUGAAGCACCCAGAACACUCAACUGAGGCGCUGGAGGCCAAGAUGGGUUCUUUCUGGCUCGUGCAUCAUUACCAAUAAUAAAGACUCAGCAUGGUAUAUCUUAUGCAACCCCCUCAGUUUCUUCUUUCAUUUUGGUUGAGUGGCUACAACUGAGGCCAGAAUUUGGCCCUAUAUUUGAAAUGUAAUGAGAAAUUCUGUUGAUCUGUGACCCUGAAUAGACUUCAA